rnacentral:piRNA from 1 species
AGUUCUCGAAAACGGUGGGAAACCUAAGA